CUGAGGAGCAUAAAUAAAUAAAAAUACAAUCGUAUUAAUAUCAGAUUAAUAUAUCAAUAUUUCUUCUGGAAUAUUCUCAGCCCACUAUAUACCAGCUAAAUCCUAGGAGCAUUCAGGUUAUAUAUUGGACCCUACAAAUAUAAACUCGAUACAUAACAGGUCGCUCACAGAGUCACAGAGAACCAAACCUGUACUACUUCCUAAGCCAGAUUCACUGCAUAAGGUUUGAUAAAUUUGAAUGAACACAAAAACUAGUACAGAAAGCUAUUUAAGGUUUGAUAAAUUUGAAUGAACACAAAAACUAGUACAGAAAGCUAUUUGCCAAUGAACAUAGAAUGAGUGACUUACCC
rnacentral:lncRNA from 1 species